CUGCCUGCAAAAUGAAGAUGAUAUUGAUAAUAGUUCCUAUCACAUGCAGCUACUGUGUGUAUUAAAUAACUCACCUACAUACGAAGCGAUGGCCUAUUCACUAUGUACCGGGUACUUUAAGUGCUUUACAUGUAUUACAUCAAAUAAUAUUAAUAAUGCUACUCAAACCUGUGCUAGCUUUGUAACUGUAGGAUUGUCUAUCACCACUGAGUUGGUCUCCUAACCUAUAAAACAGUGGGAAUCCCCCGUACACCUGCAGAAGUGGUCAUAUGAUCCGGCGUUUAUAAACAUUCAGCUCGAGGCCUGGUACACUGGAUUCAGAAUGCCAGAACGAAAGUAAAAUUUGGGGGGUUUUUUUGUUUUUUGUUUUGUUUUGUUUUGUUUUGUUUUGUUUUGGUUUUGUUUUGUUAGUACGUAGUGAGCUAAUGCACUUCCUCUGAAAUUCUACUUGGCACCCCAUAAAGGAAAAGGCCAGGUUUAAGACGGGACUAAUCAUUCCAACGGGUAGUCUUUAGAGAAACUUCACUGGAAAGAUCACGCAGCAGUUCUUCCUGGAAACUGGAAGGAACCUCCCGAGGACGGCCGGACUGCCCCCGAGCGGGGCCUAGUGACCCUGGCUACAAAUCAGAAUCCCCUGUGGAACUCUUUUAAAGCUACAGUUGGCCAGACCCCAUUUGUGAAGAUUCUGAUCCACUAGUUCCGGAAAAUCUGUCACUUUAAAACUACCCCGGGACUCUCACCCACAACCAAGACUGAAACACCACUUCAGGACUUAACUGACAUCCAGGAACUUCCAAGCCUCUGAGAAACCACAGACCAUAUGGUGGGAGAAGAGGAAUUGAGUAGCUUGAGCAGAAAGUGGACUCACAUCACUUGACAAAGGCCUCAUGGAGACAGAAGCCUUGGAAAGAUGUCCUUAUGACCCAAACCACAGGAUGCCAGCCAGCAGGUUACAGUACCACCUGGCAUCAUGUAGAAAGAAAAAUCUGAAGAUAGCUAAAAAGAUGGCUAACUGCAAAUAUAACGCUUGCCAUGUGGUCCCCAUCAAAAGGCUCAAGGAACAUGAGGUUAACUGUGUCAACAGAACUGCUGUAGAUGAUGAGCCAUUUAAUCUUCCAAAGUUCAUUUCUCCAAGUUUGGAACCAAAUAAAAAACUUUCUAAUACUGCCAAUCAGAUUUUUGACCCCAAUGUCUGGAACAUAGAUAACACACAUCAUUCUCCUUCAUUUGUUCUUAAGACAUUUGUUCCAAAAAUGCUGGUCUGUGAAAGGCUCCUCUCUUAGGACAUUAAUCCACUAAGGCCUUGAUUCCACAAAGUUCUCAAUUCUAGUGACUCAAGAGACAUAAAAAAAGAGACUAUGGAUGAUAAACAUCCUAACAACGUUAAGUCCUGGAGAAAAGGUCAGAAAAACUGAUGGAGAAGCUGUGGAUAAAAGAGCCAGCAGACAGAAAAUUUAUUUUUCUUUGAAAACUUUGGUGAAAUCUUUAUUUUUUUUUCCCCUUUGGUGAAAUCUUAACUGUCAUAUUUUAGGUAACAACUCCAGUCAUUGUUGGCAUCUUAACAUGUUUUUAUUUAUUUAAAUAAAGAAUACU